GACGAACGCUGGCGGCGUGCUUAACACAUGCAAGUCGAACGGAAAGGCCCUGCUUUUGUGGGGUGCUCGAGUGGCGAACGGGCGAGUAACACGUGAGUAACCUGCCCUUGACUUUGGGAUAACUUCAGGAAACUGGGGCUAAUACCGGAUAGGAGCUCCUGCUGCAUGGUGGGGGUUGGAAAGUUUCGGCGGUUGGGGAUGGACUCGCGGCUUAUCAGCUUGUUGGUGGGGUAGUGGCUUACCAAGGCUUUGACGGGUAGCCGGCCUGAGAGGGUGAUCGGCCACAUUGGGACUGAGAUACGGCCCAGACUCCUACGGGAGGCAGCAGUGGGGAAUAUUGCACAAUGGGCGGAAGCCUGAUGCAGCAACGCCGCGUGCGGGAUGACGGCCUUCGGGUUGUAAACCGCUUUCGCCUGUGACGAAGCGUGAGUGACGGUAAUGGGUAAAGAAGCACCGGCUAACUACGUG
rnacentral:rRNA from 1 species